rnacentral:tRNA from 1 species
UAGAAAGUAGUGUAGUGGGAGCACUAGGAGUUUUGAUCUCCUACGGAUAGGUUCGAGUCCUAUCUUUCUAA